AGGCGCNGGAUAGAAGGAUUAAGCCGGGAACGUGANAUNUUAGCCGCUCAACGGAUGAANUGNGUUNGCGAACUGGUUAUCCNGGAGUGAGUUAGAUGUGGACGGAAUUCGUGGUGUAGCGGUGAAAUGCUUAGAUAUCACGAAGAACUCCGAUUGCGAAGGCAGCCCACNAGGCNUUUANUGGACGNUNAAGCUCGAAGGUGCGGGUAUCGAACAGGAUUAGAUACCCCUGGUAGUCCGCGCGGUAAACGAUGGAUGCCCGCUGUUUGCGAUAUACUGUGAGCGGCCAAGAGAAAUNGUUAAGCAUCCCACNUGGGGAGUACGCCGGCAACGGUGA
rnacentral:rRNA from 1 species